GCGUGAGUGAAGAAGGCCUUAGGGUUGUAAAGCUCUUUCGCUGAUGAAGAUGAUGACUGUAAUCAGUAAAGAAGCCCCGGCUAACUCCGUGCCAGCAGCCGCGGUAAUACGGAGGGGGCUAGCGUUGUUCGGAAUUACUGGGCGUAAAGCGCACGUAGGCGGCGUACCCAGUCAGAGGUGAAAGCCCGGGGCUCAACCCCGGAAUUGCCUUUGAUACUGGUAUGCUUGAGUUCGGAAGAGGGUAGUGGAAUUCCAAGUGUAGAGGUGAAAUUCGU
rnacentral:rRNA from 1 species